UUUGGGUCUUUCUGCUCCGUGAGACGGAGAGCUGCCUGUGGACCAGGAUCAUGUCAGCGUCACCUUCGUUUCCUCCGACAAGGAACGCAGUACUAGGCUCAGAAGACCGAGUUCUGUUAGAAUUACUGCUCCAAUGCACAACAGGAGAAGUGGAGGGCACAGACGUGGCUGGCAGAGUGAGAGCAUGCACAAAUUUAUGUCACCGAAUUAAUUCUUCUCUACAGUUUGUCUUUCCUGCAGAAUUUCUUUCAAGGUGGUAAGUGUUGAGCUUUGGUGGAAACUUUGCUAAACGGAACAAGACCGGGAAAGAUAUCGUGUCAUCCUUGGGAAAGGUAGGUAACUUACUAGUUUUAUAUGACUAUUACAUUGAUCAUAAUCACUAUUACUUACUGAGUGCUUGCUCAAUGCCAGGCACUUAGAUAAAUAAAUACUUUAUAGUAAUUUUCUUACUAGGUUCUUU
rnacentral:lncRNA from 1 species